UCAGUUAAACAAACCACCUUGGGAGCCAUCAGCGCGUUCUUGACAGACAGCCACUGGGGCAGUAAUUGAAUCCCCUGCUUCUGGGAAGAGGAGCAAGUAAUAUUCAUCAAGCACCUGCUUUGUGCUAGGUAUUAUGCUGGGCUGUGGACAAUGUCCCAUUUUAUCCUAAGAGGGGGCAAUUUUCAUAUGAGAAAACAGGGGCUCAGAGAAGUGAAGUAGCUUACCCAAGGUCACAUAGCUAUCAAGUGGCAGACGGAGGAUUUAAAGUUAGGUCUGCCUUUUGCUAAAGCGGUUUUAAAAAAUAUUUUGCAACUUGUGGCUGAAAGGAUAAACAAUGAGACUUGUCCUCCAGCUUGGUGUCCUUAUGGUGGAAGUUUUAAAUAUUAAUGCCUAUAAAUGCAUUUUUUAAUCAAAAUAAGAAAUAUGUCAAAGAAUGAGGUAUUCCAUUGCCCAGAGAAGAGAGAAGAGGAAAUUAAUCAGUUUUGAUUGUCUCAAUGGGCCAGGAACCCAAACCCUACC
rnacentral:lncRNA from 1 species